rnacentral:lncRNA from 1 species
GGAGGACCCGGGCAAAUAUAGCGAAGCUAGCAGCAGCAGCAGUGGCAGUGGCAGCAGCGACAGUGGUGGAAGUGAGCAGUAACAUGACAGCAGUGAUGAGCGCUUGGGGGUGCACACACCAGGUCGGCCCCAGGCAGGAUGGGACAGACCGAUCCCAAUAGGUGCCGGUACAUGUCAUGCAUCGGGGGUUUCAUCCGUAGGAGUAGGCACGAACUCUGCAAGUGGUGGUGAGACUCCUUGGCGAGCACUUGCUGUAUGGGGGGUGACAUGAACGCUGUUUUCGAGGACGAUGGUUGAGAUGAAUGCAUCAGGCUGUCAGGCUGGCUGGUUGGCGUUGUGAGUCCAAAGCGCCUUGGUCCACAAGCACACUGAGACUUAGGCUACUUUGACAAGGGGUGUGCGUCCAUUUUGAGGCUUGCCGCAAGUAUUCACCAAUCGUUAAUUUAACAUGCAGUAAGCGUCACAUCGCAGAGUAAUAUCUGCCUGUGUAACCCGUGAUAACAGGGUCUUCACCCGUAAUUGUACGUGUAAUUGGUUACAUGCCCCGUAAUUUACCUGCAGCACCGUGUAAUAUUCACCCGUAAUCACUGGGUCUUCACCCGUAAUUUUGCGUGUAAUUGGUUACAUGCGCCCGUAAUUCACCUGCAGUACCGCGUAAUAGUCACCCGUAAUCACUGGGUCUUCACCCGUAAGUUUGCGUGUAAUUGGUUACAUGCGCCCGUAAUUCACCUCCAGCACCGCGUAAAAUCCACCCGUAAUCACUGGGUCUUCACCCGUAAGUUUGCGUGUAAUUGGUUACAUGCGCCCGUAAUUCACCUCCAGCACCGCGUAAAAUCCACCCGUAAUCACUGGUCUUCACCCGUAAUUUUGCGUGUAAUUGUUACAUGCGCCCGUAUUCACCUCCAGCACCGCGUAANNNNNNNNNNNNNNNNNNNNNNNNNNNNNNNNNNNNNNNNNNNNNNNNNNAGAGGUGCGGGGAAGGGCGGCGCAGGCAAGGGAGGGUGGAGGGGGCGGACAGAGGAGGGUAGCUCGGAGGGUGGGUCGGAUGCUGGUGAGGAAGAGGUCCUAGCCGCUGGCGCUGGGGAGGAGUCCAGCUCGGAGGACCCGGGCAAAUAUAGCGAAGCUAGCAGCAGCAGCAGUGGCAGUGGCAGCAGCGACAGUGGUGGAAGUGAGCAGUAACAUGACAGCAGUGAUGAGCGCUUGGGGGUGCACACACCAGGUCGGCCCCAGGCAGGAUGGGACAGACCGAUCCCAAUAGGUGCCGGUACAUGUCAUGCAUCGGGGGUUUCAUCCGUAGGAGUAGGCACGAACUCUGCAAGUGGUGGUGAGACUCCUUGGCGAGCACUUGCUGUAUGGGGGGUGACAUGAACGCUGUUUUCGAGGACGAUGGUUGAGAUGAAUGCAUCAGGCUGUCAGGCUGGCUGGUUGGCGUUGUGAGUCCAAAGCGCCUUGGUCCACAAGCACACUGAGACUUAGGCUACUUUGACAAGGGGUGUGCGUCCAUUUUGAGGCUUGCCGCAAGUAUUCACCAAUCGUUAAUUUAACAUGCAGUAAGCGUCACAUCGCAGAGUAAUAUCUGCCUGUGUAACCCGUGAUAACAGGGUCUUCACCCGUAAUUGUACGUGUAAUUGGUUACAUGUGCCCGUAUUUCACCUCCAGCACCGCGUAAAAUCCACCCGUAAUCACUGGGUCUUCACCCGUAAUUCUGCGUGUAAUUGGUUACAUGCGCCCGUAAUUCACCUUCAGCACCGCGUAAAAUCCACCCGUAAUCACUGGGUCUUCACCCGUAAUUUCGCGUGUAAUUGGUUACAUGUGCCCGUAAUUCACCUCCAGCACCGCGUAAAAUCCACCCGUAAUCACUGGGUCUUCACCCGUAAUUUCGCGUGUAAUUGGUUACAUGUGACCGUAAUUCACCUCCAGCACCG